UAUUUGUCUCGCUCUUAUUGAAAACAGCUGCAGUUCGUAAGAAAAUUGGAUUAAGUGUAGACAAUCCAACAAAAUUAAAAAUAAAUAAAAAUCAAAUACUUGUUACAAAUGACAAAUGUAUACGAUAAUACGAGACCAUAUUGGUCCGAUGAAGUGAUUACUUUCGUUAUCACAACAAUUCGCAAUACACCCUAUAUGUGGGACAAGACGCACAAAGAUUAUAGCAUCCGUUAUUUGAAACACAACUUCUGGAAAAACCUGAGAUGGACGCUGGAAAAAAGAUAUAAGUUUCGUGCCUACACAAACGAGUUGGCUCGGAAAUGGCUAAAUCUAGCUUCGUACUACCGUCUGCAGCAAAAGGCCAUUUUCGAUGCAAAUGCGCGAGGAGCACAGCCUGAGGAAAUAAAGCGCCUGGAAGGGUGGAAGUUCUUCCAGCAGCUAAAAUUUCUGCCUUUCGUGGUUUACGAUAAGAACAGUGUGGAUGCGGAAAAUCUAUAUGAUAGCGCCAACACAGAGGACUCGGAUAAUGUCAGUUCUGGCGUGGUUGAGGAAAGUCAAAUUAAUGUCGAUUCUAGAAGUCCUACACAGUCAACCAACGAUCACAUUUCACAAUGCUGCAGUUCCAAAGAAAAUACGCCAAAGCAAGUUGGAAUUGAGGAGCUAAAUGUGCCAAUGGAGGAUAAUGAUGCCGAAGUUGAAGAGACAACACCUAUAACCAUUGAGCCCGUAAUAGAUGAUGUACAAAGCACGCCAAGUUUUCAUUAUGGCAUGGCAGUUGCACAAGAUGUUUUUGAACUGGACGAAAAUUUAAAAAUCGACGCAAAAAUGGAAAUUAUGCAAGUAAUUGCUAAAUACCAAAAAAAGCAGCUACAUCGUACAGUUAUGAGUCUAGCCGGCAACUAAGCUAAAUAUUCAAGUAUUUAAAGUAACAGUGUAAAAAUUACUUGUAUUUUAAAUUUGUAAGCUUAAACAUAAAAACAUCACCCAACCAA